ACGUCGGCGGGGGCCUCG
rnacentral:snRNA from 1 species